rnacentral:rRNA from 1 species
UACGUAGGGUGCAAGCGUUGUCCGGAAUUAUUGGGCGUAAAGAGCUCGUAGGCGGUCUGUCACGUCGGCUGUGAAAACCCGAGGCUCAACCUCGGGCCUGCAGUCGAUACGGGCAGACUAGAGUUCGGUAGGGGAGACUGGAAUUCCUGGUGUAGCGGUGAAAUGCGCAGAUAUCAGGAGGAACACCGGUGGCGAAGGCGGGUCUCUGGGCUGAUACUGACGCUCAUGCACGAAAGCGUGGGGAGCAAACAGG